AUUGAACGCUGGCGGCAUGCCUUACACAUGCAAGUCGAACGGCAGCAUAGGAGCUUGCUCCUGAUGGCGAGUGGCGAACGGGUGAGUAAUAUAUCGGAACGUGCCCUAGAGUGGGGGAUAACUAGUCGAAAGACUAGCUAAUACCGCAUACGAUCUACGGAUGAAAGUGGGGGAUCGCAAGACCUCAUGCUCCUGGAGCGGCCGAUAUCUGAUUAGCUAGUGGGUGGGGUAAAAGCCUACCAAGGCGACGAUCAGUAGCUGGUCUGAGAGGACGACCAGCCACACUGGGACUGAGACACGGCCCAGACUCCUACGGGAGGCAGCAGUGGGGAAUUUUGGACAAUGGGGGCAACCCUGAUCCAGCAAUGCCGCGUGAGUGAAGAAGGCCUUCGGGUUGUAAAGCUCUUUUGUCAGGGAAGAAACGGUAGUAGCUAAUAUCUAUUACUAAUGACGGUACCUGAGGAAUAAGCACCGGCUAACUACGUGCCAGCCGCCGCCGUAAGAC
rnacentral:rRNA from 1 species